UCGGGAAUUUUGGGCAAUGGGCGAAAGCCUGACCCAGCAACGCCGCGUGAGGGAUGAAGUAUUUCGGUAUGUAAACCUCGAAAGAAUGGGAAGAAUAAAUGACGGUACCAUUUAUAAGCUCCGGCUAACUACGUGCCAGCAGCCGCGGUAAUACGUAGGGAGCAAGCGUUGUUCGGAUUUACUGGGCGUAAAGGGCGCGUAGGCGGUGCGGUAAGUCACUUGUGAAAUCUCUGAGCUUAACUCAGAACGGCCAAGUGAUACUGCUGUGCUAGAGUGCGGAAGAGGCAACCGGAAUUCUUGGUGUAGCGGUGAAAUGCGUAGAUAUCAAGAGGAACACCUGAGGCGAAGGCGGGUUGCUGGGCCGACACUGACGCUGAUGCGCGAAAGCCAGGGGAGCAAACG
rnacentral:rRNA from 1 species